rnacentral:rRNA from 1 species
CGACCGGCGCACGGGUGAGUAACACGUAUGCAACCUGGCCGUCACAGGUGGAUAACCGGAAGAAAUUCCGACUAAUACAGCAUAACACUCCUGAGGGACAUCCUUCGGGAGUCAAAGGAGGCAACUCCGGUGACGGAUGGGCAUGCGGCGCAUUAGGUAGUUGGUAGGGUAACGGCCUACAAGCCGACGAUGCGUAGGGGUUCUGAGAGGAAGGUCCCCCACAUUGGAACUGAGACACGGUCCAAACUCCUACGGGAGGCAGCAG